UACAGAGGUUGCGAGCGUUAAUCGGAUUUACUGGGCGUAAAGCGUGUGUAGGUGGUUGUACAAGUCGGUUGUGAAAUCCCUGGGCUCAACCUGGGAACUGCUUCCGAGACUGUACGACUAGAGAUCGGUAGAGGGCGGUGGAAUUUCCGGUGUAGCGGUGAAAUGCGUAGAUAUCGAGAGGAACACCUGCGGCGAAGGCGGGUUGCUGGGCUGAUACUGACGCUGAGGCGCGAAAGCCAGGGGAGCGAACGGG
rnacentral:rRNA from 1 species